rnacentral:rRNA from 1 species
AGUGAACGUUGGCGGCGUGGAUUAGGCAUGCAAGUCGAGCGAGAACCGUAGCAAUACGGGGACAGCGGCGGACGGGUGAGUAACGCGUGGGUAACCUGCCCUGUACACACGGAUAACAUACCGAAAGGUAUGCUAAUACGGGAUAAUAUGCUUUAGUCGCAUGGCUAAAGUAUCAAAGCUCCGGCGGUACAGGAUGGACCCGCGUCUGAUUAGCUAGUUGGUAAGGUAACGGCUUACCAAGGCGACGAUCAGUAGCCGACCGGAGAGGGUGAUCGGCCACAUUGGAACUGAGACACGGUCCAAACUCCUACGGGAGGCAGCAGUGGGGAAUAUUGCACAAUGGGCGAAAGCCUGAUGCAGCAACGCCGCGUGAGCGAUGAAGGCCUUCGGGUCGUAAAGCUCUAUCUUCAAGGAAGAUAAUGACGGUACUUGAGGAGGAAGCCCCGGCUAACUACGUGCCAGCCGCCGCAGUAA